CUCCAGGUCAAAUAUGGCUGGUGACCAUUCCGCAGAGUCCAUGGUAUGAGUGAAGUUCACAGCUAGAAGCUGACAGAAGAGCUUCUAGUAUUGUAACUUUUCACCUGUUAGAAAGUAUCCAGAUGUAGAACUCUCAUCUCCCUCUGUGCCAUGCCUGCCUGGAUGCUGCCAUGCUUCCUGUCUUGAUGAUAAUGGACUGAAUCUCAGAACAUGUAAGUCGUUUAAGCUGGUCUUCUAUAGAAGUAGGUUCUAACAGAUGUGCUGGCAAGUAGAUGUAAGCAGGGUUUUCACUUAGGACCCUUAGCUCUGACAGAGGAGGAAAAACACAUUAGAAUUUCAGCUGGAGUUUUCCAAACAAUAGACAAAAUUACAUUUUUACCUCUCUGAAUCUUAUAAACUUAAGUCAAUAUAGUCAGUCACACAGACGAAACAUUCACAAGGACUCGGCGUAGAAGUUCAAGGUUACUCGUGUGGAAUUCUGGCUUUUGUCACUCAAAUCAGAGAUCCUUGAAAGGACAGUGCCUGGAGACUGGGCACUGAGUCCUUAGCAGUUGUCUGUUAAUAAAUCCCAGAACGCUUUGUGACCUUAAAUCCUCAGCAGGAUGGCAGCUGGGAAAUAAAGGACAACAGAAUUUGGUGAAGGGAGAUUGACCGAGGCCGGGCGUGGGGAGAGGCUGUAAAAUCAUGUGAGGUUCCCAGUGUCCCUAGAGCACAUUGUGUAAUGCCUUUGCUUGUCCCUCAGCUGGACACAUGCUCUGUGCUCCUGCCAAGUUGCAUAAGGAGAAAUUUCAGUGCUUUGAAAAUGUGCUUUGGCUAUGAGGACGCUAUGGCAAAGACAUCAGGCCACUCUGUCUGGACUUCGAGUCUGAGAAAGCACCGCUUAUGCCCCAAAAUCCUGUCUGUCUGUCUGCCUGCCUGCCUGCCUGCCUGUCUGUCUAUCUGUUUCUCCCUCUCUCUCCUUCUUUCUUAAAUUUAUUUUAAUGUAUAUAGGUAUCUUGCCUGUGAACCAUGUGUCUGUCUAGAGCUUAGGAGGCCAAAGGAGAGUGUUGAUUCUCCUAGAGCUUGAGUAUAGGUGAUUUGUGAACCACCAAGUGGAUGCUAGGAAUCCACUCAAGUCUUCUGGAAGAGAACCCAAUGCUCUAAUCAUAGAGCCAUCUUUUCAAUCCCCAUAUAUAUCAUCUUUCUCACUGGCCUGCGUUUGUAGCAAGUUGCAGGGCAUUCAGGGUUGUCAUAGGAAUAUAAGGAAGACAUUAGGGGCGGGCAUAGGUGGUGGCUGGAGAGAUGGUUCAUCGGUUAAGAGUUCCUAGGACCCACACGACAGUUUGGAACUACUUGUAACACUAGUUCCAAGAGAUCUGAUGGCCUCUUCAGACCUCAAUGGGCUCCUACAUGCACUUGGUGCCAAUACUCAUGAAGGUACACACACAUACAUACAUUAAAAAGAAUUAAAC
rnacentral:lncRNA from 1 species